CCCUUAGACGUUCUGGGCCGCACGCGCGCUACACUGACCAGCGCAACAAGCAUCCGUCCUUGGCCGACAGGCUCGGGCAAUCUUUGAACGCUGGUCGUGAUGGGGAUAGACUUUUGCAAUUUUUGGUCUUCAACGAGGAAUUCCUAGUAAACGCAAGUCAUCAACUUGCAUUGAUUACGUCCCUGCCCUUUGUACACACCGCCCGUCGCACCUACCGAUUGAAUGGUCCGGUGAAGCCUCCGGAUUGGCGCGCACCUCGGUGCCGCCGAGAAGUUGGCUAAACCUUACCAUUUAGAGGAAGGUGAANUCGUAACA
rnacentral:rRNA from 1 species